AUGUUCAUCUCUUACUCUGUGUGUGUUUGGUUGGCCUGGGUUCCUUGGAAGAGGAAGAACUCUCGUGUGUUGGGAGGAGGAAUGUGGAUGUUGCUUUGUGUGGGAGACAACUCUUUGAUUCUUUGCUCCUCUGCGGUGAAUAUAUAUUGGUGUGGUCGUGGUGGGUGGCCCUCUUUCUGGGAGGCCGAGGAUGCCCGUGGGGACGGACAGUUGGAGAGGACAUGCAUGCAUGGGGGUGGGCCGGCCACUGCCUGCUGCUUUGUUUAUUUACCAAUAAUAACACAAGCGGUAAUCCAGUCCCUCUGA
rnacentral:rRNA from 1 species